GAAUUUUUCAUAAAACUUUCUAUUAUAUUAUAUUAUACUAAUCAAAAUGGAUUUCUUGAGUUGUCAAACUCAAAAAAUUCAUUUAAAAUGUCACAAGAAAAGACUCAACCAAGAUCAAAUGAGGCUCUUAGAGAUUAGCUUCAGCUCGAAUAACAAGCUUGAUUCCGAUAGAAAAUUUCAACUUGCCCAAGAACUAGGGUUGCCACCUAGGCAAAUCGCAAUAUGGUAUCAAAACAAGCGAGCACGAUGGAAAAGUCAAAGCCUUGAGGUUGACUAUAAGACCUUGCAACAAAGACUAGAUAAUGCCCUUGAGGAUAAUGAGAAGUUGAAAUUGGAAGUUGAGAGGCUAAGAAAAGAGCUAAACAAAAAUCAAGAAGUGUUGUUGGGAUUCAACACCACAACUACUAAUAAUUAUUCAUCAAUUUCAAGUUCUUGUGAUGAAGUUGGGAGUACUUCAUGUUUGCAACUUCAUGAUCAAUCCAAGCAUAAUCAUCUUGAUAAGGAUUUUUAUGCUUGUUUAAUUGGUGAUGAAGGUCACUUUGGGACACAUGAUGGGCAUAAUUUCUUUGCUUCAUCUUUGUCUUGAUAAGCUACAUAUGUAUAUGGUAACUAAUUAAGUCCAAAAAC
rnacentral:misc_RNA from 1 species